rnacentral:lncRNA from 1 species
CGUGUUGUCACACCUGGCCAACCUACCUGGGACAAUGGCCCACUCAUGGCGAUCCACGUGGCAUUCCUACCGAGGUGGGGCUACAUCCGAACUACUGAGCCGAAGUCCAUCCGCCGAGGCCUACGAACCGAAGCCGCUGCUGGAACCUGUUGAGAGCAGCUGAUGCCCUCAAGUGGAAGUAUCAUGACAAAUGGCCGAAGCCCCGAAGCUGAUGCGCGAGCCUCUGAACCACAGGGAAACAUCCUCCAUGGUCACUUCUCCCAAGAGAUCUCCUGCACAGAUCUUAUUCGAAUGAUUGAUGGAACUUUUGUCAUAAGCAUAAAUGUCAAAUCUUGUCACUAGCAUGGAGGCUCUGCACAAGCAAUAAAUGCGCCGUAAGCUAGCAAGUCAAGUCCCAUGCCUAAGAACAGACAUUUGAACUAAGGAGAUGAUGCCACGUACCACUUCAUCCAAGGGCUCCCAUUCCAUAUGUAUCACUAUAAAUACCCCCAUUGUAUAAUGUAAAAGGCUAAUGCAAGAAUCUAUACUAAAAACCACAUUUACUCAACUCUCUCUGAUUUACUUGCAAUACACAAAUCGGGUCUAUACUUUUUUACAUAUACAUCUACGAGCACCGGUUGGUAAUUAUCGUACAAUCGGAUUACGAACAACCCGCCGGAUUCCGAACGUCACCGUCCCGCGUCGUUGGGCUACUCCCACGCCCCUUUGAACCGCUCGUUUCAGACCGUCCACGUGUCUUAGCGUGUUGGACAUUCGCCCACGCAAGCGCGGGUGGGACCGGCAUCUGUUGGCGCACUUUUUGGGGUCAACAUUUUCUAUUUUAAAAAAGUCAACCUUUAAAUUACGUUCAAAGAGACUCUUCAAAUUAAUAUUAUACAAUAGUGAGCCUUCGAACCCACUUUUUACGAUUAAAUGUAUUCAAAAUAUUUUAAUUUUAAUGGAAGAAAAUAAUAUAAUAAUUUAGAGGGAAGCUAAUGAAAAUAAAAUAUAGAAAAAUAAUAAAUAUUUUUUAGGAGUGAUAAAAUUAAGUGUCAAAUGCAACAGUCCCGCUACUAGUACAGAACCU